ensembl:lncRNA
AGUGGAGCUGUGGGUAGUUUGUGCUGGAGAUCCCUGCCUACCUGAGGCCUUCCAAAAGGCUGCUACUGAGUGUAUCCUCAACACCUAUGUAUCCCCAAACUGUCAAAGGCAGGAUGACCAAAGCCAUUUGCUGCUCUGAGACAGAGAGAUGUUUGUUGCUGAUCAGAAUCACUGGAGAGACAUUAAUCUAGAAAGAUUAGUAACUUUCAGGUUUUCAGAGCAGCCCAUGAACUGGCUGGUGGCCAGCAGGCAGAAGACUGCAGGUUGGUUGAUGCUUUACAUCCUUCUUUCCCAAAGAAGUAUUUCCAUGAAAGGAGUCCCUGUGACCUCCAGCCGCGGAGAAAUGCACUUGGUCAUGUAGCUCCAAAUUUUCACCUACCCUGCAUGGGGCUUGUAUUUUUAAGGCAGUUGUGAUUAUUGCAGCUAUACGUUCCAAGAAGGGACAGAACAGAAGGAAAAAAAACAUCUACCAAAUGAAGAAAGGAGUAGAAAGAAUAUCAGUGCUUCUGGUGACAUCUGUGCCGUCCACCUUCUGUGAGCUGCAGUCUAAAUAUCUACUGACAAUUUAAGGUUCUUCAAGGAUACCAGACUUCCCAGUAUAUUGCCACGUCUCGUGGUAUCACCUCAGCUGGCAUUAGGAAUUGAUGUCCAAGGGUACUGCACGGCUGCCAGGACCUGGGAAACACUUCACUUCUUGGGCAGUCACAUCUGCCCCCAACAAGCCAUGCUGGCAUGCUUUCUAAACACAGAUGUAUUGUAGAGUAAACUGUCUACAAUUAUACAGACUGGAGUGAGUUAAUAAACUGCAUAUUAUGGUAAGAGGUUACUAAAAUUCUUAUGCGUGUGUAAUUCUUCUUUACAAAUGGAAAGCUUCUUUUAAGUGCUGGGAAUUUAGUCUGGGUGGAUUUUUAAUACGAUAAAAACCUGGUCCUCUUCUGCUUUACUCACUGUUAUUCCAUUGGUUUCAAUGGAAACAGGACAUGCUUACAAGGAUUAGAACUAUUCUAAACAGGACUAACCUGAACUCUUUAUGGAACAGGAAGAAAUGUUGUACUUAGGUGUACUUACAGGUUACAUAAACCUCAGCUGAGCAUGUAUUACUAGUAGCAAUGAAGUCAUAGCUUGUGUGUACAUUUUUACUCUUAGGAAGUUUAUUUCUGAGCAAAUUAAGCUUAUCACUGUGUCUCAGUUGCAAAAAACUGCAAUAGUAAGGUCACGUUUUAAAAAUUAGCUUCC